AUUUAGCCCCGAUUGAAGUGGAAAUCCUUUUUCUUUUUUCUUUAAAAAGGAAAAGAUUGCAACGUAAAGCGGGAGUUAUC
rnacentral:sRNA from 1 species